UUAAAGUUCAUCAAAUAAAGUUUAUAGUUUGGUUUCUGUGUAGACAAUUGCCUCUCUUGUCAUUUGCCUACUACAGUAUAAUCGGUGGUCGGGGCUAAACAGGCAGUGAUAUAAAAUCUGUGGGCGGGGCUAAACAGACAGUGAUUUAGAAUCUGUGGUCGAGGCUAAACAGGCAGUGACAUAGAAUCUGUGGUCGGGGCUAAACAGGCAGUGAUAUAGAAUCUGUGGUCGGGUCUAAACAGGCAGUGAUAUAGAAUCUGUGGUCGGGGCUAAACAGGCAGUGAUAUAGAAUCUGUGGUUGGGUCUAAAGAGGCAGUGAUAUAGAAUCGGUGGUUGGGGCUAAACAGGCAGUUAUGUAGAAUCAGUGGGCGGGGCUAAACAGGCAGUGAUGUAGAAGCAGGCGUUGAGCUUCUUCUGCGGAGGCGGUGUUUAUCCACACUAUUACAUCAUAGAGUGGCACAUUGAUUCCACAAGCUGUUGUUUUGGCAGAAUGGCUUCACUAUAAUCUGUUUUUAGACCAAAGUCCUUUUAAGACAAGGCAUGUCACUCGGCGGCCAUCUUUGAAAUGCCUCUCAGGCAUGCAAGUGCAAC
ensembl:lncRNA